AUGGUGGUCUCAUGCACACACAGCUGCCUCGAGCCUGCAGUCAGAAGCCCCUACUUCAAGCUUAAAAGCUGCUCAACUGUCCGUGAUGAAGCUCCAGUGAAGCAUGAACCAAGCAACAGUGACCAGGGCAGGACUGGAAGCUGUACCUGGGACAAUGUUCAGGUUGCACAGCUCUGCAGGUGCAAAAUCUGGUCUUUUCCCUUUGUGGCAGUGCCAUGCACAAUGGACCUGAACUCAGAAUUGCCAGCAAAUACCGACUGUUCUGCUUCUGUGUGUGUAGCUGCAAGAUGGUGUUGGACUGCAUUCAAGCCCCAUGGGACUGUGGUAAUUCCCUUAGAGGAGGACAUCAGGUAAACCACAGUUGUUGUGGGUGGGAUACUGAACACCUAAUGAAUGAUAGAAGUUUCAGGAGGCUUUAAAGCCAGAAUAAGAUUUGGUGA
rnacentral:lncRNA from 1 species